GUGCUCACUUCAGCAGCAUAUGUACUAAAAUUGGAACGAUACAGAGAAGAUUAGCAUGGCCCCUGCUGAAGGCUGACACGUAGAUUCAUGAAGCAUUCCAUAUUUUU
ensembl:snRNA U6 U6 spliceosomal RNA